rnacentral:rRNA from 1 species
GAGGAAUAUUGGACAAUGGGCGCAAGCCUGAUCCAGCCAUGCCGCGUGCAGGAUGACGGUCCUAUGGAUUGUAAACUGCUUUUAUACAGGAAGAAACACUACCUCGUGAAGUAGCUUGACGGUACUGUAAGAAUAAGGAUCGGCUAACUCCGUGCCAGCAGCCGCGGUAAUACGGAGGAUCCAAGCGUUAUCCGGAAUCAUUGGGUUUAAAGGGUCCGUAGGCGGUCAGAUAAGUCAGUGGUGAAAGCCCAUCGCUCAACGGUGGAACGGCCAUUGAUACUGUCUGACUUGAAUUAUUAGGAAGUAACUAGAAUAUGUAGUGUAGCGGUGAAAUGCUUAGAGAUUACAUGGAAUACCAAUUGCGAAGGCAGGUUACUACUAAUUGAUUGACGCUGAUGGACGAAAGCGUGGGUAGCGAACAGGAUUAGAUACCCUGGUAGUCCACGCCGUAAACGAUGGAUACUAGCUGUUGGGAGCAAUCUCAGUGGCUAAGCGAAAGUGAUAAGUAUCCCACCUGGGGAGUACGUUCGCAAGAAUGAAACUCAAAGGAA